CUAGCGCUAAUACCGGAUACGCCCUUUUGGGGAAAGGCUUGCUGCCGAAGGAUCGGCCCGCGUCUGAUUAGCUAGUUGGUGGGGUAAUGGCCUACCAAGGCGACGAUCAGUAGCUGGUCUGAGAGGAUGAUCAGCCACACUGGGACUGAGACACGGCCCAGACUCCUACGGGAGGCAGCAGUGGGGAAUAUUGGACAAUGGGCGCAAGCCUGAUCCAGCCAUGCCGCGUGAGUGAUGAAGGCCUUAGGGUUGUAAAGCUCUUUUGUCCGGGACGAUAAUGACGGUACCGGAAGAAUAAGCCCCGGCUAACUUCGUGCCAGCAGCCGCGGUAAUACGAAGGGGGCUAGCGUUGCUCGGAAUCACUGGGCGUAAAGGGCGCGUAGGCGGCCAUUCAAGUCGGGGGUGAAAGCCUGUGGCUCAACCACAGAAUUGCCUUCGAUACUGUUUGGCUUGAGUAUGGUAGAGGUCGGUGGAACUGCGAGUGUAGAGGUGAAAUUCGUAGAUAUUCGCAAGAACACCAGUGGCGAAGGCGGCCGACUGGACCAUUACUGACGCUGAGGCGCGAAAGCGUGGGGAGCAAACAGGAUUAGAU
rnacentral:rRNA from 1 species